UUAAAUAGAUUAUAUAAUUUAGUUUUGUAUUUAAACAAUUGAAAAAUUGGCCAAUAGACACUCAAUUUUUAUAUUGCGUGAUGUGGGUAGCUACUUGUCAUAUCCAAUGGCAAUAAUCAUUUUAUAAUGAAUAGGCUUAAUCCACAUAUUAUCCAUAUCAGUGCUGCUACUUAAUUACAGAGCCAUAAAAAGUGAUUUGAGUGAAAGAAUUAGUUU